CCACUUACUGUUACGGCUGUCUUGAAAGAUGAACUAAGCACCUAGGGCUCUUCUGGGUGACCACCUUACAGGCCAUCAGAGGUGCAUCACCACGCCUGUGUUUGCAUUCUGAGCCGGUGGUGACUUUGGCCUGACUCUAUCUUAUGCACAAGGAAACUGGGGCUCAGGGGAGCGUGGGGGUGUGCCUCGGCCGCACAGCCCUGUGGGUGCAGGCCUGAGGGGUGUUGUGGGGCCCCGUCCCCUCCCACACUGGCCUCUGCCUCUGCCUCUCGCCCCUGUCAUCAGUCGUGGGACGUGGGCUCUAAAUCUGAUUUGAUUACUGAGGACAAACUAGCUUAUAAAAUGCUGCAGAGCAGUGUCUUUCCUCUCCGAGAACUGGAUAUAAUAAAGUUGGCUUGAUCUCCCCAGCCUGUAUCUUGAGGGAACAAGUAAAUUAAACAAGUAAUUAUAUCCAUAAUGUUUUUAGAAGUUAGAAGAUUUAAAUAUAUGAAUCUCAUCUGAGCUUGCUGCCUUUUGUCUGCGGUGUUUCCUGCCAAAAGAUCUCUUGACAGGAAAUAAACAUUAAAAUAAUCUUUAAUCCCUUGUCUGGUCUAUUACCAUUAACAAUUGAUGCACUUUAAUUUUGUGGGAUUUUAACUACAAAAUGGAACGGCUAAGUAGUGAUAAUUGGGUUUGGAAUUAUACGGUCAUUUAUAUCAACAGAGAUGCAAGAGGCUGGGAGGGAGGGUGAUUAAUUAUUUACUCUUUCCUGGCUGUGGUUCCUAUUAUAGAAUUUUCUGAUAUGUUCUGCUGUGAACAAUUAUCACCAAAUGAAAGUAAACAAAUCUGUGAUCUGAAGCCUUAUUUAGAAGUUAGUCUAUAUUUAGGUGAUCAGGGCUUGGUUUUCACGGACCCUGUGGGCUGGGCGCAUUCCUUUUCUCAGGGUCCCGCCAGCUCUGAAUUUGAAUAUGCUUCUCUCUCUGCAUCUUAAAAACUCUAGAACAUGCAGCCCUGGGGAGACCCCUCGGUUUGCCAGGGGAGGACCACACCAGCCCUGAGCCAGAUCUCCGGUCAGUGCCAGCGAUGUAUCUGGGAGGGGGGCCUGGGUGGAUCCUCCCCAUCCCUGGCUUGCUGCAUCACGGCGCGGGGAGACCCAGGAGCAAAAUGGGUGUGUCCGCCUGAGAGCAAGGGUGGUGCUCUGCUCUCUCUGUGUGAGAGUGGGUGCUCAUGGAGCCCCCCUUCCUGCCUCCGUCUCCCUGUCCUCGUUCAGUGACCCAUCCACGCUGUGAUCAGGCCUUUGCAGGGGGCAGUCACCCAUCCGACACGCACUCCCCUUCUGCCUCGCUUGGUGGUGACCCGCAUCCGUAGAGCACACCCGCGUAUCUUUUUGCCUCUCCCUCCAUGUGACUCCUUCCAAAGCAAGGGGCCGGCAUCCUUAAGUAGACAGAUCCCUCUGAUGUGCGGGGAUCGAUGGGUCCUGGGUACCAUGUGUUCCCUGGGAAGCGGCAGGACGCGUAAAGCAAAGGGGUGGUCACAAGCCAUGCCGAGCGUCACUCGGACAGUCACGGUCCGUUCCCAGGCUCUGUGCCGUCAGGGCCUGGGACCAGACGUGUGAUAAGCAAGGUUGCCCUCCGGGGUCACGCCCUCGUGUAAUUCUGCGCAUGACAAGCCCUCUCCUGGUGCCUGUCUACCUGCCCAAUGAGCAGCUGCUCCCGUAUCCACCUGCAGGGUCCCCCAGCCAGGGACUGUCUUGGUGCCUCCCCCGCCCCAGAUGUCCUGCCAUCACUGAUUGGUCACUCCCUGCCUCCGGUCCAACCACGGUCCUCCUCCUCAGCAUCACCACCCUGGCCGCGGUCACCGUCAUGCCUGGCCUGGGUCACGGCCGUCCUCCCUCCCUGGUCUCCACACUCCCAGCAGCCUGGGCCCCGCAGGUGCAGGUCGUAGGACCCGCUGCUCUUCACAGCAGGCGAUUCUCAAAGGAGGCAGAGCCCACCUUGCCUUGCGUAGCUUGGGAGGCGGAGCAGAGCAUGGCCGGGGACCCCCAGGGGCCACACCUGACUCUUGGUGUGUUGUUCUUGUUUAUGACUAGCUCACUGUCAUCGGGGGGUAGAGUGUGGAUGUUGGUGGGGACGACCCCGUGAGGAGGAAUCGAGCGGUGCUGGACACACGGGAGACGCGGGACUCAGGGGCCAAGAGACUUUGCUGUUUGACCUUCUCUCCGAGUUUCUCACCCUCACGCUAUUGAUUUGCGGUGUGGGUAACUCGGCUGUAGGGCCUUCCUGUGCCUUGUGGGACGCUUCCCAGCAACCCUGGCCUCUCCUCACUAGAUGCCAGGCGCUCCCGCCUCCCUCCCAUGUCCUAAAAAGCCGAAGAUGUCUGUAGGUGCUGCCAGAUAUCCCUUGGGCAGAGGGCAAACCAACCCCCAGUUGAGAAGCCCUGCUUUACACCCUUCUCCACAGUUUAGGUGUUCCCCCCGCCCCAAGAAGAGAGUAUUUAUACCAUUCUAUAAUGGAGCCAGAGAAAGUGUUGAUGGAACCAGAAUGCUGACGUGAACCCCUGCUUCAGUGAUGCCCGUUAAUGUACCAGGCCCUACUCUGGACACUUGGUCUGUGUGCGGUAAUUCAUUCCUCCAAGAAUUCC
rnacentral:lncRNA from 1 species